rnacentral:rRNA from 1 species
GUAAUACGGAGGGUGCAAGCGUUAAUCGGAAUUACUGGGCGUAAAGCGCACGCAGGCGGUCUGUCAAGUCGGAUGUGAAAUCCCCGGGCUCAACCUGGGAACUGCAUUCGAAACUGGCAGGCUUGAGUCUUGUAGAGGGGGGUAGAAUUCCAGGUGUAGCGGUGAAAUGCGUAGAGAUCUGGAGGAAUACCGGUGGCGAAGGCGGCCCCCUGGACAAAGACUGACGCUCAGGUGCGAAAGCGUGGGGAGCAAACAGGAUUAGAUACCCUGGUAGUCCACGCCGUAAACGAUGUCUAC